GUGUGUGUUGCGAUCAAACAGGAGAAGGGAAAAGAGGGUGUGAACCCUAAACCUCAAGAAAUCGUCAAAUUGGAAGGGGAAUCAAGGGCUUAUUGUAUGCAUGAACCAAGAAUGAUGAUCCCUUAAGCAUUUCUAACAUCAUGUAAGUCAAAUUUUAUGAUUUGGAAUCAUGUCGAGAUGGACUUAAGCGCUAAAAGCUAACGGGUCAAGCGGAGGCAAGGAAACGGAUACAAACACGGAUGCACAAGGUAAGUGACUUCCGACUCACUUCUUAGUAUACAUAUAGAAUUUUCUUGUCUAUGGAUGAUGGGAAAUUAUGUAUGGGAAUUAGGGGUGUGCAUGGGUCGGUUUUUACUAUUAACCAUAACCAUAACCGCUAGUUCGGUUAUGUAGUUUCGGUAACCAUAACCAUAACCAAACUUCGGUUAUGGUUAAUCGGUUAUGAAGUCGGUUAUGGGUCGGUUUUGGUUAAUUUCGGUUAAGUAACCAAGCAAGGUUUGAAAUAAAGAGGGUUGUGCACGAUUUGAACUUAUCUUGAGCCUAUUUUAUAAGAUAACGGAGACUAAACUUUUUGGUGAAACUCCCAAUUUAGGGUUCUUUUUAAUAAGGUAAUUCUCAAACAAAAACAAUUAUGGCCAUAACACCUUAGUUCUUUAUCAAAAUAAAUGGGCAUCUACAUCAAGAUCAUUUUGUUACUAACAUACUUUUAUCUUAGUAAAAACCCUCUAUAUGGUUUUGUAAAACACAAAUCCAUUAUAUAAAGUUAACAUCACAAGUUCGGUUCGGUUUCGGUUAUAUCGGUUAACCAAAGCUUCAUAACCAUAACCAUAACCGAUUGAGCGGUUAUACAAAGUUUCAUAACCAUAACCAUUGGUUAUAUUGGUUAUUGGUUAUUAGUGGUUCGAUUAUGUCGGUUAUGGUUCGGUUAUCGGUUAUGGUGGUUAAUUUGCUCACCCCUAAUGGGAAUGUAAUGAAUGAAGGUUUUAAGAUAAGUAUUGAACUAGUUAGACGAAGGUAGUUAUCUAAGUAGAAGGUAAUUUGGUGGGAUUAAACGGGUCGAAUAAAUAAGUAUAAGUAAGGUAACGGCAAUGAAAUCCGUAAUGAUUAAGGAUCCGGGGUAAGGAUUCUUAGUCUAAAAUGUAAGGAAUUGUUUUACGGACAUUUAGGAACAAGUUUCAAGUGAUUCAGACGCGAAAUGAACAAGUUAUGAGGAUUUUGUUAACAAAUUGGAAAGCUGAGCUGGGGACUACCGUAGCUUACGGUAGCCACCGUAAGCUACGGUAGGUGCUGGGUCUUUCCUUCUGCCGUUAGACAGUAGGAAGGCACCGUAAGGCUUCUGGGGCCACCGUAAGCUACGGUAGCUACCGUAGCUUACGGUGGAGGUCUGGUGCAAAAGUAUUGUUUAUGUAAUUCUUCGUUUUCUUCGAAUUCGGACUCCGGGAACCCAUUCCAAGCCUCGAUAAGUUUUUUUUAAUGCACCUCAACCCUACCAAAUGGCUUGGUAAGUUACGGGUAAGUAUGGAACUCAAUUUUAAGGUCCGAAACAUACCCGAAAGACACUUAAAAGAGUGUUUAUGACGUGUGAGUAAGAACGUGACGUGAGAGUGAGUAUGCGGGAAAUGAAUUAAGCAUAUGGGUGUGUAUGUAUAGGUUUAACUUCAUUCCAGUAGCUGUAACUAAUAAGUAAUCAUGAAUAGGAGUGAGUAUAUUUAUAAGAUUGUUCGUACAUGUCUUAUUUCAUGGUGCUAUGUAAUUAGGAUACGUUAGUAAAAUCAUGUGGAAUUAUGUAAGUUGUAUGUGAGAGCUUGUAUAUAUGUACGUAUGUAUGUGUGAGUGUAUUAUGUGACCAAAAGUACACAUACGGAUGUACGUAGGCACGAAGUAGUAUUGAUUGUACACGAAGGAAUGGGGCUUGUAUAUACGUAUACAUAGCUUCAAGAUGUUUGAGUACUAAGUUACUAAUCAUGUGCCUUGAGAAUGAAAUGAGAUUUGCAGGUAUACUAUUGAAGUCCAUUGUGAAGUUUUGAGGAAUUGGAAUGCAAGAUUGUACUCGGAAGGAUGAUCGAAAAGGCUUGCACGAAUAGAAAGAUUGCGGCGUGGUCAAUUAAUUACGUAUGAUAGAUUAUGAAUGUAGAUUAUCAAAUUUUAAGGAUCUGCAUGUUUGUGGUGAAUGUAGGUUACACGGACCAACAUCGGUAUAAAGUUUUGGAGAAUUGAAGAUCGAGUCAAGGGCAAGAAUUGUACGGGAAGAGUGGUCGCAUAUCUGGGGGUCGUAUAUGUAAUUGAUGUGAUAAUUAAGAAUAAACGUUGUAAAUCUUUUAAUAAAGUGUAGGU
rnacentral:lncRNA from 1 species